AUUGAACGCUGCGGCAGGCUUAACACAUGCAAGUCGAGCGAGCGGCGGACGGGUGAGUAAUGCUUAGGAAUCUGCCUGUUAGUGGGGGACAACAUCUCGAAAGGGAUGAUAAUACAACAUACUAAUAGAUGAGCCUCAGUCGGAUUAGCUGGUUGGUGGGGUAAAGGCCUACCAAGGCGAAGAUCUGUAGCGGGGCUGAGAGGAUGAUCCGCCAACCUGGGACUGAGGCACGGGCCCGAACCCUUCGGGGGGGAGCAGUGGGGAAAUUUGGACAAUGGGAGGAACCCUGGUCCAGGCAUGCCGGGUGUGGGAAGAAGGCCUUAUGGUUGUAAAGCACUUUUUGCGAGGAGACGGUACUCACAGAAUAAGCACCGGCUAACUCCGUGCCAGCAGCCGCGGUAAUUC
rnacentral:rRNA from 1 species